UACGUAGGGUGCGAGCGUUGUCCGGAAUUAUUGGGCGUAAAGAGCUCGUAGGCGGUCUGUCGCGUCUGCUGUGAAAUCCCGAGGCUCAACCUCGGGCUUGCAGUGGGUACGGGCAGGCUAGAGUGCGGUAGGGGAGAAUGGAACUCCUGGUGUAGCGGUGGAAUGCGCAGAUAUCAGGAAGAACACCGAUGGCGAAGGCGGGUCUCUGGGCCGUUACUGACGCUGAGGAGCGAAAGCGUGGGGAGCGAACAGG
rnacentral:rRNA from 1 species